rnacentral:rRNA from 1 species
UACGGAGGGUGCGAGCGUUGUCCGGAAUCACUGGGCGUAAAGGGCGCGUAGGUGGCUUGGCAAGCGUGUGGUGAAAGCCCGGGGCUCAACCCCGGGUCUGCCGUGCGAACUGCUAUGGCUUGAGCACUGUAGAGGCAGGUAGAAUUCCGGGUGUAGCGGUGGAAUGCGCAGAUAUCAGGAGGAACACCGGUGGCGAAGGCGGGUCUCUGGGCCGAUACUGACGCUGAGGAGCGAAAGCGUGGGGAGCGAACAGG